UGCGUAGGCGGGUUUCUAAGUCAGAGGUGAAAGCCUGGAGCUCAACUCCAGAACUGCCUUUGAUACUGGAAGUCUUGAGUAUGGCACGAGGUGAGUGGAACUGCGAGUGUAGAGGUGAAAUUCGUAGAUAUUCGCAGGAACACCAGUGGCGAAGGCGGCUCACUGGGCCAUUACUGACGCUGAGGCACGAAAAGCGUGGGGAGCAAACA
rnacentral:rRNA from 1 species